UAAGCUGUAUUGUUCUUUAACAAUUCGGAAGGCAAGGGUUCAUCUGGACUUGAUGAGAGUCCGGGUGGACAUAGGGUUGAGUUGUAUCUUGCUCACAACCUUUAAAAGGGGGUUGUGAGUGGCGCAAACACGCCAUGACAGUGUGUCCCGUAUCAGGCAACUGAGAGGGCUCACAGUUAUGGGGUCAAGUGACUAAGUGCAUGU
rnacentral:misc_RNA from 1 species